rnacentral:rRNA from 1 species
AUUGAACGCUGGCGGCAGGCCUAACACAUGCAAGUCGAACGAGUGGCGGACGGGUGAGUAAUGUCUGGGAAACUGCCCGAUGGAGGGGGAUAACUACUGGAAACGGUAGCUAAUACCGCAUACCAUCGGAUGUUCCCAGAUGGGAUUAGCUAUUGGGUGGGGUAACGGCUCACCUAGGCGACGGUCCCUAGCUGGCCUGAGAGGAGGACCGGCAACAUGGGAACUGCGACACGGUCAAGAGCCCUCCGGGAGGCAGCAGUGGGGAAUAUUGGAAAAUGGGCGAAAGCCGGAUGCAGACAUGCGGCGGGGAUGAGGAGGGCCUUCGGGUUGUAAAGUACGUUCAGAAGGGAGGCGUUACUCGAAGAGGAAGCACCGGCUAACUCCGUGCCAGCAGCCGCGGUAAUUC